AAUAGCAUAAAAAUCAUGAGAUGUGUCAAAGAGAAGCACGCAGUGUAGGACAUUAUAAAAUCCAUGCCACAAGUUGUAACACAAGCUACCUUUUAUUACAAUUACAGGGCACUUGAAAAACUACACUCCUUAGUGAAGUAUGAAGUCUCUCAUCAUACCCUCCAUUCGAUCUUAUACUUUCAGGUAGUGCAUACCAUGUUCGUUUAACAAAAUGCACUUACCUUGACAAACAUUAUUAAUAAUUAGCCUAACUGAACUCAUCUAGCGACAAGCUCUCCACGGAUCCAAAGCUUUCCAUAUGUCCGAUUCUUGAGUAGUUAGUCAACGAUCCACCCAAAAAAUCAAGUGGUGAGUCGUCAGAGAAGUUGGUGGUGUCAUAGAUAAAUGACAAGCCGGUAUUGUCCACCAUUGGAUAAUUCAUGUAAAAGAAACUGGAUUUGUUAAACUCAUAAUCGUGAAGAAAGAUAUCAUUAACAGCAGUGCUAGUUAUAUUAGCAUAUACAUCUUGAUCGGAGGCCUUCUUAGCCUGAAUGACAUAAUUCUGGUUUUGAUUGUCCUUAUAUACCAUAAUAAAGUCUCCAAGUUGUAAUCCAUGCGUGUUAACAAAGUCCCCGGUAUUUUCAAGUACAUACAUUCUGCUAUUGUUAUUAGGCCAGUACCUGUAUUUGAAGCUCCAAACAUGCAGACCAUCCAAGUCAUCCAUGGUGAUAAAAAUUCCUUCUUUCGACUCCAGGAGAGGGAGAUGUGCCUCAGCUGCUUUCUGAAACACGGUGCCAUAUAUAGCAAAACAUAUAAUUAACGUUCCAUGAAGAAAUUGUGACUGCCGCGGAGAGCAUACACAUUUAUAGGAGCUAUAAUUAGAGUUGAUUAUGAAGAGAAAGAGAAGUUACAGCUACAAAAUCUUUAACAGAGGAGAAAUACAGAUACUAAUUAGACCUUUG
rnacentral:misc_RNA from 1 species